rnacentral:rRNA from 1 species
AUUGAACGCUGGCGGCAGGCCUAACACAUGCAAGUCGAGCGAGCGGCGGACGGGUGAGUAAUGUAUGGGGAUCUGCCUGAUGGAGGGGGAUAACUACUGGAAACGGUAGCUAAUACCGCAUACCAUCAGAUGAACCCAUAUGGGAUUAGCUUGUAGGUGGGGUAACGGCUCACCUAGGCGACGAUCCCUAGCUGGUCUGAGAGGAUGAUCAGCCACACUGGAACUGAGACACGGCCCAGACUCCUACGGGAGGCAGCAGUGGGGAAUAUUGCACAAGGGGCGCAAGCCUGAUGCAGCCAUGCCGCGUGUAUGAAGAAGGCCUUCGGGUUGUAAAGUACUUUCAGUGGGGAGGCGUUACCGGCAGAAGAAGCACCGGCUAACUCCGUGCCAGCAGCCGCGGUAAUAC